UUGGUAUUUAGUCUCGGGAAGCUAAUCAGACAUGUGUGCUCUGGCGGUGUUCAGGUUGGCUAUAGUUUUUAACAAUUUUUUCACAGUUUGAAUGAGAACCUAGCUCCGGUGGCCCCCAGCAGAGUCCAUAAAAACAGAUGGAAGAACCCACACAAACACCACAGCCUCCCAGUCUUUGCAGCUCAUUCGAAGUAACUGGGAAGCCAUGCUGGAGCUUGGAUCCCAGGGUGGUGAUGUUUUUGGUGACUCUCGCUGGAGCUGUCAUCCUAAUGCUCCUCUACAGACUCCUACAAACACGGCACAGGUUGAAGAUGGUGAGUGCGAGGCAUGCUCUGGAGUACCACAGCUUCUACCACACUGCCACCUACACACUCAAACAUCCUUCACCCUACGAGAAGCUACCAGCUCAAAAUGGUAAAGUUCCCGAAUCGCCACUGCCUCUCCAAAGUGUUGCCGCAGCAGCUCCGCCCGUCCCGUCGCCAGCUCGUACACUCCCACCAGCACCUUCACUUCCGAUGACACCUUCUCUCCGGUCUCUUCCACUGCCUGUGAUUCACACCACUCCGCCAAGCCCCCACCUGUCAUGGGGAGCUUGCUCAGAAGUCGAUGUUUACUCUCGUAUUGGAGCUUAUCGGCCCUCCAGGCUCUCAAGCCUCUCCAGUCACUCAAAGGUCAUUCUUUUUGAACACUCAUUUCUCUGACCUGAGUGGAAGUGGAAGAUGGUAAAUACGCCAUUGGACGUACCUCCAUUGGACUCCAUAUACCAGUGAUUUUCAACCACUGUGCCGCGGCACACUAGUGUACCUUGAGAAACUGUCAGGUGUGUCGUGAGGAAUUAUCCAAUAUCACUUUUUAUAAUUAACAUUUAUCAAUCAUCAUUUGCAAAUAUUAUGUCAAUAGCCAAUAUGUCAAUAGUAUACAUGGACCCAAAUAUUCCAAUUGCAUUUGGUUUAUUUGCUCAAACGGAAAGAAUUGAACAGGGAUGGAAUAUUCCUUUAACCAAUCCGAUUGAGGUAUCUUGUACCCGCUCAAACGGAAAGUUGUCAGACUGCGUUCUUCUUCGUGGUGUUUUUCUUCUUCUGUUGUUUAUUGGCGGUUGGCAAGCAGCUUUCGUAUGCAUUAGCGGCAUCUGUGGAACAGAAUCUAAACCCUUCUAUACUUUAUUCACAAGUGCAGUUUUAUUAAAAAAGAAAAUAUAUAUCUAUAUAAAACAUGUCCUGAGUUUAAUUAUAAAAUAUUAGCAAGAUUGAAUUUGAUCUUUUCCUGUUUAAAUUUAUCCCGGGUGCGUUCUUUCAGCGCAUGCUCAGAUAUGACGUAACACGCAGAUCCAGACGUUUUUUUGGUUUUAAAAAUGUAGGUGAGCAAUCAGCAUUGGACUAAGCAAAGUUUGUUUUUGAUUCAAACUAAAUUUCAAGACUGGACUGACAAAAAACUGGCAAUACGAAGUUAUUCCAACAAGUGAAAGAAAAACUUGGGGAGGCCGGUAUAACGUGAUGUUGAUGUUUACGUUUUACUGGGCAUGCCCUAUUGACUAUUCUGGUUGAUUUUCACGGCGCAUGUAGACAAGAGAUUGGAAUAUUCCUUUCUAUGGAUACCAUUGUUUCCCGAAAGGUCAUUCGGAAAGAGAAAAAGUGGUCAUGUAAAAACGUGGCUACUGUGGAGUGUCUGUGGUGUAAAGACUGGCAGAGCAAUGUAAUAUUGGUCCGUGUGACAACACCUACCUUGUUCCUCCGAUAGACUUAUUGAUGCACGUGUAAGGUCGUGGUGACAUUUUGUAACAUUUUUGGUUAGUGGUGUGCCACAAGAUUUUACCAAUGUAAAAAACAUGCAGUGGCUCAAAAAAGGUUGAAAAUCACUGCCAUAUAUUAUAUGACUGUCGAUCUUCAGCUUACAACUGUUUCAGUUUUUAUCUUAUCUACAUUCAUUUAGUAGGUAUUAACCCCACAAAUGUGGUUUAUGGGGUAAACAUAUAGAUAUAGAUGUGUUAUAUAUUUCAUAGGAAUACUAAGCAUUAAAUGAUAUCUCCUAAAGCAGCCGUCCCCCAGACCUUUUUUGAGCCCAAGAGCCCUGCUUCUGUUGCUGCUGGAGCUAGUCGAUGCAUUACAACAGUCAACCUUAACGAUCCAUGGAGGUCACACGUGGAUGAGCACGUGAUGCGCGCUGGCACCUCCGGGUUUCGGGGACCGGGCUCCGGGCUUGGGUUGCGCGGGGUGCGUGCCUGGAGAGUAGCGAAGCAUGAUGAGAUGUUCAGGGGUCAAAAUGCAUGCCUGUUGAUAUGGUCACUCUCAGGAGGGAUGGGCACUGAUGUGACAAUGCAUUUAUUUUUUUUUUAUAUAUUUUUGAAGAUCUACACUGUACUUACUUACUUAAUUACUGUUAAUUUACAGCCAAUUUCCAACAGUAAUAUACUGUAUUAACGGAAUACAGUUUUUACCGUAGUUCUCAAUGCAUUGUGGGUUGUUCAAGGUGAAGCAACAUCAGUAUGCUACUGUUAUAAAUUAGAGUAAACUACAGUAUUUUCUAAAAAUUUGGUGCAUACCAAACUCGCGAGGGAAAGUUCUCCUGCCUGCACGGCGGGGACAUGUUUGCUACCCAUGAACAGGAAAUCUUGCUUCGUCUGCAUCCUUCCAAUUGUGCAUCUACAAAUAACACGGUAAGUAAAAACUAACUUGUCUUUAUUUUUUACAGCAGAAUGAAUCAACCUGACUGAAAUCAAACUGGCUAGCUAGUGAGUGCCUGAUUUUCAGUGCCACUCAUCGGUGAGGCUAAGAUUUGAAUAAUGUUAGCAACAUUCCGUUUUCUACAGCUUUUUCCUCACAAGGGUCGCUGGAGCCUAUCCCUGCUGUCUUUGGGCGAG